GCUCCGUUGGUGAACCAGCGGAGGGAUCAUUACAGGACUCGCAAGACUCCUACAACCCUGUGAACUUAACUAUAAGCACGUUGCUUCGGCGGGUGUCUCGGAGGGGGUUCUCCCUCCCCGAGACGCUAAACCCGCCGGCAGCCUACUAUACUCUGUCUCUUUGCGUAGGCAUCUCGAGUACAAUCAAACAAGUUAAAACUUUCAACAACGGAUCUCUUGGUUCUG
rnacentral:misc_RNA from 1 species